CCUACGGGAGGCUGCAGUAGGGAAUCUUCCGCAAUGGGCGAAAGCUGACGGAGCAAUGCCGCGUGAGUGAUGAAGGUUUUCGGAUCGUAAAGCUCUGUUGCCAGGGAAGCGGUACCUGAGAAGAAAGCCCCGGCUAACUACGUGCCAGCAGCCGCGGUAAUACGUAGGGGGCAAGCGUUGUCCGGAAUUAUUGGGCGUAAAGCGCGCGCAGGCGGUCAUUUAAGUCUGGUGUUUAAUCCCGGGGCUCAACCCCGGAUCGCACUGGAAACUGGGUGACUUGAGUGCAGAAGAGGAGAGUGGAAUUCCACGUGUAGCGGUGAAAUGCGUAGAUAUGUGGAGGAACACCAGUGGCGAAGGCGACUCUCUGGCUUAACUGACGCUGAGGCGCGAAAGCGUGGGGAGCAAACAGGAUUAGAUACCCUUGUAGUC
rnacentral:rRNA from 1 species